UACAGAGGUCCCAAGCGUUGUUCGGAUUCACUGGGCGUAAAGCGUGCGUAGGCGGUUCGUUAAGUUCGUUGUGAAAGCCCCGGGCUCAACCUGGGAAUGGCAAUGGAAACUGGCGGGCUGGAGUAUGGCAGAGGGGGGUGGAAUUCCGCGUGUAGCAGUGAAAUGCGUAGAGAUGCGGAGGAACACCGAUGGCGAAGGCAGCCCCCUGGGCCAAUACUGACGCUCAGGCACGAAAGCGUGGGGAGCAAACAGG
rnacentral:rRNA from 1 species